UACGUAGGGUGCAAGCGUUGUCCGGAAUUAUUGGGCGUAAAGAGCUCGUAGGCGGUCUGUCGCGUCGGCUGUGAAAACCCGGGGCUCAACCCCGGGCCUGCAGUCGAUACGGGCAGACUAGAGUUCGGUAGGGGAGUCUGGAAUUCCUGGUGUAGCGGUGAAAUGCGCAGAUAUCAGGAGGAACACCGGUGGCGAAGGCGGACUCUGGGCCGAUACUGACGCUGAGGAGCGAAAGCGUGGGGAGCAAACAGG
rnacentral:rRNA from 1 species